rnacentral:rRNA from 1 species
GAACGAACGCUGGCGGCGCGUUUAAGCAUGCAAGUCGAGCGGCAGGGGGGCUUCGGUCCCCCGAGAGCGGCGGACGGGUGAGUAACACGUGGACAACCUGCCCCCCGGUUCGGGAUAGCCCAGGGAAACCUGGAUCAAUACCGGAUGCGAGGGCGGCCGCACAAGCGGCCGUCGGGAAAGGCGCUUCGGCGCCGCCGGGGGAUGGGUCCGCGUCCCAUUAGCUAGACGGUGGGGUAACGGCCCACCGUGGCGAUGAUGGGUAGCCGGCCUGAGAGGGUGGACGGCCACAUUGGAACUGAGACACGGUCCAGACUCCUACGGGAGGCAGCAGCUAAGAAUCUUCCGCAAUGGGCGAAAGCCUGAUGGAGCGACGCCCGCGUGAACGAAGAAGGCCGUGAGGUUGUAAAGUUCUUUUCGGGAGGGGGAACGAGGCUGCCAGGCAAUGGGCGGCCGAUGACGUGAAUCCCGGAAUAAGCCCCGGCUAACUACGUGCCAGCAGCCGC